GCCGGCGUGGCGGAAUUGGCAGACGCGCGGGACUCAAAAUCCCGUUCCAGCUAAUGGAGUGCCGGUUCGAUCCCGGCCGCCGGUAUCA
rnacentral:tRNA from 1 species